GGGGAAUAUUGCACAAUGGGCGCAAGCCUGAUGCAGCAACGCCGCGUGAGUGAUGAAGGCUUUCGGGUCGUAAAACUCUGUCCUAAGGGAAGAAUAAAUGACGGUACCUUAGGAGGAAGCCCCGGCAAACUACGUGCCAGCAGCCGCGGUAAUACGUAGGGGGCAAGCAUUAUCCGGAAUCACUGGGCGUAAAGGGUGCGUAGGCGGCUGAGCAAGCCAGGGGUGAAAGGCAGUAGCUUAACUAUUGUAAGCCUUUGGAACUGUUCAGCUUGAGUGUAGGAGAGGUAAGUGGAAUUCCUAGUGUAGCGGUGAAAUGCGUAGAUAUUAGGAGGAACACCAGUGGCGAAGGCGACUUACUGGACUAUAACUGACGCUGAGGCACGAAAGCGUGGGGAGCAAAC
rnacentral:rRNA from 1 species